GUAUGCUCAUGGAUCCUCUGAUCUGCUUGGUAUUCAGAUUGAUGCUGCAAUAAACCCUGGAAACAGUGGUGGUCCUGCCUUCAAUGAUCGUGGUGAGUGUAUUGGUGUGGCAUUCCAGGUUUUCAGAUCCGAAGACACUGAAAAUAUUGGAUAUGUUAUUCCAUCCACUGUGGUU